rnacentral:rRNA from 1 species
GGGAAUUAGACGGGGCCCGCACAAGCGGUGAGCAUUGUGGUUUAAUUCGAAGCAACGCGAAGAACCUUACCAGGCCUUGACAUGCAGAGAACUUUCCAGAGAUUGGAUUGGUGCCUUCGGGAACUCUGACACAGGUGCUGCAUGGCUGUCGUCAGCUCGUGUCGUGAGAUGUUGGGUUAAGUCCCGUAACGAGCGCAACCCUUGUCCUUAGUUGCCAGCAGUUCGGCUGGGCACUCUAAAGGGACUGCCGGUGUUAAACCGGAGGAAGGUGGGGAUGACGUCAAGUCCUCAUGGCCUUUAUGACCAGGGCUACACACGUACUACAAUGGCCGAUACAAAGGGCAGCGACACUGCGAGGUGAAGCCAAUCCCGUAAAAUCGGUCUCAGUCCGGAUUGGAGUCUGCAACUCGACUCCAUGAAGUUGGAAUCGCUAGUAAUCGUGGAUCAGCAUGCCACGGUGAAUACGUUCCCGGGCCUU